rnacentral:lncRNA from 10 species
AGCGCCGGGGCUGCUAAUGCUCCCUCCCCUCUUCCUCUUUGGCUCUCUCUCUCUCUUUUUCCAGACACCUUAAGGAAUUCAACAACCCCUCCCCUGCACACAGGCUUCUUCCAGCCAGAUGCCAUGUUGCAAGAUUUCCUCUGGAGAGGGCCUCUUGGCAAGGAACUGAUGUCUCUGGCCAGCAGCCAGCGAGGACCUAAGAUCUGUCAACAGCCAUGCAGAAGGGACAAUGAAUUGUGACUCGGAAAUUAAUCAGAUGAGACCUGAUGACUGAAGUACAUCACAGAGCUAGGAAGAGAGAUUACUAAGCAACACGCCCUUUUUUUCAGACAUCUCAGUUGACAACCUGAGCAAUAGCUCUGACCUGGAAGCAUCCAGCUUUGUAGCCAAAGAGAAAAAGCGCAGACCUUUGUCCCAGAAUUCUCAUCAAAAGUGUCUUUCAUCUCAUUGGCCCUGUGUGAGUCAUGUGCCCACCCCUAAACCAAUCACCAUGGCCUCAGGAAUGCAUUGUGUUGAGUAGUUUAGGCU